rnacentral:rRNA from 1 species
GACGAACGCUGGCGGCGUGCUUAACACAUGCAAGUCGAACGGAAAGGCCUUUUUCGGGGGGUACUCUCGUGUCGCACGGGUGAGUGAAACAUGAGUGUACUGCCCCUGACUCUGGGGUAUAUUCUGGAAAAUGGGGCUCAUACACGAUAGAGGCUCCUGCGCCAUGGGGGGGGUUGGGGAGAUUCGGCGGUUGGGGAUGGACUCGCGGCUUAUCAGCUUGUUGGUGGGGUAGUGGCUUACCAAGGCUUUGACGGGUAGCCGGCCUGAGAGGGUGACCGGCCACAUUGGGACUGAGAUACGGCCCAGACUCCUACGGGAGGCAGCAGUGGGGAAUAUUGCACAAUGGGUGGAAGCCUGAUGCAGCAACGCCGUGUGCGGGAUGACGGCCUUCGGGUUGUAAACCGCUUUCGCUCAUGACGAAGCGUGAGUGACGGUAAUGGGUAAAGAAGCACCGGCUAACUACGUG